UACGUAGGGGGCUAGCGUUGUCCGGAUUUAUUGGGCGUAAAGAGCGUGUAGGCGGCCAGGUAGGUCCGCUGUGAAAGUCCGAGGCUCAACCUCGGAAUGUCGGCGGAAACCCUCUGGCUAGAGUCCGGAAGAGGAGAGUGGAAUUCCCGGUGUAGCGGUGAAAUGCGCAGAUAUCGGGAAGAACACCUAUGGCGAAGGCAGCUCUCUGGGACGGUACUGACGCUGAGACGCGAAAGCGUGGGGAGCGAACAGG
rnacentral:rRNA from 1 species